rnacentral:rRNA from 1 species
AGUGAACGCUGGCGGUAGGCCUAACACAUGCAAGUCGAACGGCAGCACAGUAAGAGCUUGCUCUUACGGGUGGCGAGUGGCGGACGGGUGAGGAAUACAUCGGAAUCUACUUUUUCGUGGGGGAUAACGUAGGGAAACUUACGCUAAUACCGCAUACGACCUACGGGUGAAAGCAGGGGAUCUUCGGACCUUGCGCGAUUGAAUGAGCCGAUGUCGGAUUAGCUAGUUGGCGGGGUAAAGGCCCACCAAGGCGACGAUCCGUAGCUGGUCUGAGAGGAUGAUCAGCCCACCUGAAACUGGACAACGUCCCAGCUCCUUACGGAGGCAGCAGUGGGGAAUAUUGGACAAUGGGCGCAAGCCUGAUCCAGCCAUACCGCGUGGGUGAAGAAGGCCUUCGGGUUGUAAAGCCCUUUUGUUGGGAAAGAAAAGCAGCAGGUUAAUACCCCGCUGUUCUGACGGUACCCAAAGAAUAAGCACCGGCUAACUUCGUG